GGUCCUAUGAAUUAAAUGGCAAAGCGCCUGGCUAGUAAGCAGGAGAUCACGAGUUCGAGUCUCGUUGGGACCU
rnacentral:tRNA from 1 species